rnacentral:rRNA from 1 species
UGGGGAAUAUUGGACAAUGGGCGCAAGCCUGAUCCAGCCAUGCCGCGUGUGUGAAGAAGGCCUUUUGGUUGUAAAGCACUUUAAGCGAGGAGGAGGCUACUUGGAUUAAUACUCUAGGAUAGUGGACGUUACUCGCAGAAUAAGCACCGGCUAACUCUGUGCCAGCAGCCGCGGUAAUACAGAGGGUGCGAGCGUUAAUCGGAUUUACUGGGCGUAAAGCGUGCGUAGGCGGCUUCUUAAGUCGGGUGUGAAAUCCCUGAGCUUAACUUAGGAAUUGCAUUCGAUACUGGGAAGCUAGAGUAUGGGAGAGGAUGGUAGAAUUCCAGGUGUAGCGGUGAAAUGCGUAGAGAUCUGGAGGAAUACCGAUGGCGAAGGCAGCCAUCUGGCCUAAUACUGACGCUGAGGUACGAAAGCAUGGGGAGCAAACAGG